UCCUGGCUCAGGAUGAAACGCUGGCGGCGUGCCUAACACAUGCAAAGUCGAACGGAGUUACGAUGAAACCUAGUGAUUCGUAACUUAGUGGCGGACGGGUGAGUAACGCGUGGAUAACCUGCCUUGCACUGGGGGAUAACACUUAGAAAUAGGUGCUAAUACCGCAUAAGCGCACAGAGCCGCAUGGCUCAGUGUGAAAAACUCCGGUGGUGUAAGAUGGAUCCGCGUCUGAUUAGCUGGUUGGCGGGGUAGAAGCCCACCAAGGCGACGAUCAGUAGCCGGCCUGAGAGGGUGAACGGCCACAUUGGGACUGAGACACGGCCCAAACUCCUACGGGAGGCAGCAGUGGGGAAUAUUGCACAAUGGGGGAAACCCUGAUGCAGCAACGCCGCGUGAGUGAAGAAGUCAUUCGUGAUGUAAAGCUCUAUCAGCAGGGAAGAAAAUGACGGUACCUGAGUAAGAAGCCCCGGCUAACUACGUGCCAGCCGCC
rnacentral:rRNA from 1 species